rnacentral:lncRNA from 10 species
CAGUUUCGAGGUCUAUGGUCCACUAGGAGGGGACCUGUGACACUGCCUUGCUGUCCAUCCAAUGUAAAGAGGAAAACACUGGCUGCAAACCCCAGAAGCCAGCUCCACGCCAGCUCUGUUCCACGUCUGCUUCUGGGUCCAGACCCACCUGUGAGGCAGACAGGAUAGCAGAGGUAGGAGACAGAGACCGAUUCCUGAUGGCUUCUUUUGCUUAAGCCACUUUGAGUUGGAUUUCUGUUACUUGCAACCAUGCGCCCUGACUCGAGGAGAAAAGCUACCCACUAUGUUGAAAAUGCAGAAUCAUCACACAAAUGGGCAAGUUCCACAGUCCGCAGUGUGAUCCACCCCAAGGCCCAGGCGUCCACAGCAACCUAUCUAGACUGGGACACCAAGGAGGAGAGCUGUCAAGUCAGAGGGGAGCAGAACUACCAGGGUCUGCACCCCAUCAGCACCUGCAGCAGAGACAGACAGACUCUGGCGGAUGCAGUGGCCAGUUCCCCGAAAGGAAGGGGGCUGUGCUGUGCAAGGCGGGCCCUGGAUAUGAAGCUAAGGAAUAGGAGUGUCCUGGUCACUAGGAAUGAACGUGCUUCCUGAAUUAACUAAGAGCUCGCUGACACCCCAUGUGGGUAGCAGAGAUCAGUGCUGGGCCCCUCUGAGGCCGGGCUUCCUGAGAGCUCAUCCGUGAACGGCGGACUGAGCUCCUAAAUGGCCCACCCUCCGUUCGCCAAAAGGAGAAGCAUUCUGAAGCAGAAUAAAGGAGGGCAAAUGUUCCACACGGCCUCGGAGUUUCCUGGGAGGUCCAGUUCCACAGCCAGACAGUGAAGGCCUGCUGGACCCCACUUCUCUCGCCCUCUGAAGCCCACAGCAUCCAGGCCAUGCCUCCAAGUGAGAGGGUCCUCCAUGGAACUGAGGAGAUGUUUACUGGUUCCUCCCAGCUUCCUCUCCUGCGAGCCUACCACCCACUCUCCACACAGGAGCCAAUGACCAUCCGCAAACAGAACGGAUCCUGUCCCUCCACCAGCUGCCCACUCUGGGUCUAGCUCUGUCACCCCAGCUGGAGUGCAGUGGCGCAACCUCAGCUCACUGCAGCCUCGACCUCCUGGGCUCAAGUGAUCCUCCCGCCACAGCUUCCCAAGAAAGGGUGGUUAAGGGUGAUACAGGCUGUGACCUGGUACCAUGGUUUGAGAGUGGCCAGAUCUUCUGGAGGCGAGCUGGACCACGUGAGGAGCCCUGUGGGGAGGGAGCUCCCUAGGGAUAACAUACGAACCCUGCAGGGCCCCCUGCCUCGCCCGCUCCGAGUGCUGCAACCUGGAUGCGACACCAGCAAGAGUGCAAAUGAAGCAAAUCUUUGUAAGGAAAGGAUGACUUUUGCUGGCUGAAAUUCAUUUUUAAAAUUACCAUACAGUAAAAUUAACUCUUGUGAGUUUUAACACGUGGAGAUUCAGCUCCACCACAAUCAGAAUACAGGACGGUCCCACCACUCCCAAAACUCCCCACCUCAGCCCCUGGCAACCACUCAUCUGUCCUGCAACAAUAUGGCUUUGGCUUUUUGAGAAUGUAAUCUCAAUGUAAUUAUACAUUAUAUAACCUUGAGACUGACUUUUUCUCAGAAUAAUGUCUUGGAGAUCAAUCCAAGUUUCCAUGUGUAUCAAUGGUUCAUGCCUUUUGUUUCCUCUCUGAACGUCCUGAAAGGGCAGUGGUUCAUUCCUUUCUACGGCUGAGUCAUACUUCACCGCACAGACGUACCACUUUGUUUAUCCAUCACCCAAUGCAGAACAUUGGGAUUGCUUCUAGCUUUUGGCAGUUAUGAACGGAGCUGCUAUAAACAUAUGUACUAGUUUUGGUGUAGACAUAAGUUUCAUUUCUAUUUGGAUCAUAUGGUAAGAGGACGUUUAGCUUCUUGAGAAACUGUUUUCCUGAGUGGUUGCACCAUUUUGCAUUCCUACCAAUAAAGUAUGAGAGAUCC